CCUACGGGAGGCAGCAGUGGGGAAUAUUGGGCAAUGGGCGCAAGCCUGACCCAGCAACGCCGCGUGAAGGAAGAAGGCUUUCGGGUUGUAAGCUUCUUUUGUCAGGGACGAAGCAAGUGACGGUACCUGACGAAUAAGCCACGGCUAACUACGUGCCAGCAGCCGGGGUAAUCCGUAGGUGGCAAGCGUUAUCCGGAUUUAAUGGGUGUAAAGGGCGUGUAGGCGGGACUGCAAGUAAAAUGUGAAAACCACGGCGUCAACCUGUGGCCUGCAUUUGAAACUGUAGUUCUUGAGUACUGGAGAGGCAGACGGAAUUCCUAGUGUAGCGGUGAAAGGCGUAGAUAUUAGGAGGAACACCAGUGGCGAAGGCGGUCUGCUGGACAGCAACUGACGCUGAGGCGCGAAAGCGUGGGGAGCAAACAGGAUUAGAGACCCUGGUAGUC
rnacentral:rRNA from 1 species